rnacentral:hammerhead_ribozyme from 1 species
GUACAGCUGACGAGUUCCAAUUAAAGCGAAACACACGUCCUGUAU